GAACCUUAAAUCUCGCGUAUUGUUUUCCUAUCUCUGUUUUUCUUAUCUUUGACUUGGAUUUUUUUUUUUCAUUUGAAUUCUCACUUGAACUCAGUCAAACACGUUUGGAUUCAGUAGAUGAGUUUCUUUAAUCCUUUGCAUCAAUCUCGGCCCCAGAAUAGCUCUCCCAUAACCGAUCCCUCUUUUUCCCUAAAAUAUUUCAGGAAUUGGAAGCAACAUGUAGGAUAUGUGGAACCCUCUUCCCUCUCACAAUCGCCACCUCUUCAAUUCGAACGCUCCCUUUUAAUACCAGCUACAUGGGCUUAGAUCUUUUACAACCAUUCAUUCUUGAAGUCAGUUCCAACCUCCAAACGUUGAAAACAUCGAUGGAAAUUACAGACUCAUAGGCAUCCCUGAUUUCGCUGUUCUCUUCCCUAUUUCUCUCACCGAUUUCCUGUUUUGAUUUUAAGAAACAGAUGCUAGGGCUAUCGCCUGAUAUCAAUUUACUCUUUUAGGACUUGUGUGGAUACUCACCACCAACCAUCGCUAUUGCGCUGCUGCUAAACCGACCGCUUUCAUCCACCCAUCGUAAUCGUAAGUUUGGGUUUAUUUGAAUUUGUGUCCAAAUCACCUCUGAAAUGCUUCUAUGAUUCAGCUUCGAUCCUUCAUAUGUGAAGAACAAACCGACAUCCUUGCUCUUUGGAGGCCAUGGAUCGUUCACUCCAGAUGUUGUGGACAAUGGCAAUAACGAUCAGAUCGCUAAAGAAACUGUGUAGCUGAAAAUUCAAUGGAGGCUAAAUGAAUUUGACGGGUGAUGUAGGCAUGGUCUCAAAAUGGUCAUAUGAUGCUCCUACUAUAUCUUGGGCUUUGCAAAAAGCUUGCUUGCUACUGGUGCUUACACAUGGCUUGCAAAGGUUUCUUCAAUAUUGUAUUUAUGCUCUUUUUUACAAUGAAACUUAUCGGAAGAAAUGAUAUUUUUAUUUGAUUUUUUCAGUAAAUAUUCUUUUUAAUUGAAAUCCAAAUGAAACAAAUGUAAAGCUUCAGGUUACCUGCAGAAGAGCGAGUUUUCCAUCAAAUUAUCAAGAGACUUUGUCCUGUUUGUUCGUGCAUGGGGCAUGAAUGUGGUUGCUUCCCAUUUUUUGCAGGACCGAUAAGUUGUGAUAAACUUUUUAGAAGAUAAAUAGUUGUUGAUGCUACUCAAACAAAAUAAGUUAUCAUUAAUUUCAUUGAAAUUCUUAAAUUUUGGGAUGAUUUGUUAUUUUCCUGCUAUAUUGGGACUAUUUAGGCGAUAAAAAGGGGUUGUUGUGGGGCUCUAUUGCAGCAAGGUUAGUAAUCGGUUUCAUACAAUCAAAAAGCAAUAAAUAUACUUUCUCUUAUCUGUGUGUUAAUCCAACAUGAUGUAUGUAUGCACUAAAAGCUCUUCUAACGAUUCAUUAAGUAUUUUAUCUUCAACUUUA